rnacentral:lncRNA from 1 species
GAAGAAUUAAAUACACUCAUAUUUAUGAACAUUCUGAAAUGACAAUAGUGUAUUAGUCAGCGGUUCAUCACAGUGACCAAAAUACCUGACAAGAACAACUUAGAAAGGAAGAGUUUAUUUUGACUCACAGUUUCAAAGGUUCAGUCAUGGCUUGCUGACUUCAUUGCUCGCGACCUGAGGUGGUGCAGAACAUCAUGGCAGAAGGGUGUGCAGAGAAAAGCAGUUCAGAACGUGGCACCUAGUAAGUAGAAGAGAGCAUGAGGAGCCAGGGACAUGGUCCACGAUCCUCAAGGGCAUGCCUCCCAGUGAUCUACUUCCUCCAGCCAUAUCCACUUGCCUACAGUUACCACCCAGUAAUCCAUUCAAAUUAUUAAUCUAACAAAUGGAUUAAUCCACUGAUUAGUUUACAGCUCUCAUAAUCUAAUAAUUUCACCUCUAAAUAUUCCUGCAUUGUCUUACACAUGAGCUUCCGAGAGAAUACCUCCUAUCCAAACCAUAACAAGUAGUUAAAACAGGAAGAAUUUGAGAGUUAGCAUUCUU